GACGGCGGGCCACCAGGCUCCCCUGUCCCUGGGAUUCUCCAGGCAAGAACACUGGAGUGGGUUACCAUUUCCUUCUCCAGUGCAUGAAAGUGAAAGUGAAGUCGCUCAGUCCUAUCCGACUCGUAGCGACCCCAUGGAUCGCAGAUUACCAGGCUCCUCCAUCAUGGGAUUUUCCAGGCAAGAGUCCUGGAGUGGGGUUCCAUUGCCUUCUCCCCUGGAAGAUGUCAAAUCCACAGAUGCCUGGUGAGAAGUGCACCGGCAUCUCAUCUGGACGCUUCUGCCUAAGGCUUCCUGGAAAUGGCUUCUGCAGGAUGAAUCAGCGCUACGUAUACAUAUUCCUCCUGCCUGAUGAGACUUCCUCCCACCCCCUCAUCUCACCCCUCUAGGCUGUCACACAGCACUAGGCUGAGCUCCAU
ensembl:lncRNA